AUGCUAGAAGAAGUGCAACAAGUGAAUGAUUUUAAUGCAAGGCCGAGGAGUGAUCAAUAUUCGGGAUGGAAAAACCCUCCAAAUAAUUCUUGGAGGAACAAUCAAGGUUAUCAAGGUGCUGGACCUUCACAUAGAUUAUAUCAAGGAGCACGAGCCAAACUCCCAAAAUCCUCACUUGAAGAAACAUUGAAAGCAUUCAUGGCUAGCCAGGAACAACACUCUCAGUACUUGUCUAACACAGUGGAUACUCUUGCAAGCAAAGUGAACAGCCAAGGAGCUUCUAUUUCAAAGCUUGAAACACAAAUGAGGCAACUAGCUGCGAGGUUAAGUGAAAGAGAACAUGGGAAAUUUCCGAGUCAAACCGAUAUCAAUCCAGGUAGCCAUAAGCAUAUAAAUUCGGUUACCACCUUGAGGAGUGGAAGAGUGAUUGAUAAUAAGGUGGGCAGCAAUGAGGAAAACGUGCAAGAAGAAGAACUUGAAGCUUACACACCUCAGGAUCACAGUGUUGUUUCACUCCCAGAAGGGUCUGUUCAAGAAAAAGUAAUUCCUACUGCUCCAAAUACAUCUGAAAAGUCUACUCCAGCGAAUAUGUACAUGCCUCCUAUCCCAUAUCCUCAAUGUUUAAAGAAGAAGAAGAAUGACAAGCAUAAGAUGGAUAUUCUAGAUAUGUUCAAAAAGGUGCAUAUUACCAUUCCUCUUCUUGAUGCAAUUAGUCAAAUUCCUGCGUAUGCAAAGUUCUUGAAGGAGUUAUGCACGAAUAAAAGAAAGUUUGAGGAGCAUGAAAAUGUUAUGCUAUCUGAAGAAGUGAGUGUGGUGUUACAACGGAAGCUUCCUCCAAAAGUGAAGGAUCCUGGUAGCUUUUCUAUCCCUUGCACUAUUGGUCAUCAUUCUUUUAAGAAGCCUAUGUUAGAUUUGGGUGCAAGUGUGAAUCUUAUGCCAUAUUCCAUCUAUGAACAACUAAAUUUGGGGGAAUUACAAGAAGCUACAGUGAAGUUGCAACUAGCCGAUCGAUCUUUGAAAAUCUGGAGAGGAAUCGUUGAAGAUGUAUUAGUGAAAGUGGAUCAACUCAUCCUUCCAGCUGAUUCUUUGUACUUGAUAUGGAAGAAGUGCCAAUACCAGACCAGGAGAUUCCUAUGUUGUUGGGCAGACCAUUCAUGGCUACUAUAGGGACAAUGAUAGAUGUAAAACGAGGAAGACUCACAAUGGAAGUACAAGAUAUGAUGGUGGAGUUUAAAGUCUUUGACGCGGCUAAGCAUCCUUCCGAGAGUUCUCAUUCUUUUUCUAUGGAGGUUGUUGAUCAGAUUGUGCAUCAAAGUUUUCUAGAAAACCAUUCUUCCGAUCCUAUAGAGACAUGCCUUGCUUAUAGUGGAAUAGAAUUCAGUGAGCCGAGGAUUGAAGAGGCCGCUACAAUCCUCAACGUUGUUCCUAAGUAUUCUCCACAAUUUGAGCCGAGUUUUGAAGCUCUUCCUCCUUCCAAUGCCAAGAUUGUUCCCUCUGUUGUUACAGCACAUGUAUUGGAGUUGAAACUACUUCCAGAACAUCUGAAAUAUGCAUACCUUGGAGAUUUGGAGACUUUACUUGUGAUAAUAGCUUCAAAUUUAAGCAGGAUUGAAGAAGAGAAGUUGCUAAGAGUUCUCAAAGAUCAUAAGGCAGCCAUUGGGUGGUCUAUUGCAGACAUUAGAGGUAUAAGUCCCACAAAGUGCAUGCAUCGCAUUCUUUUGGAGGAUGAAUCAAAGCCAAGUCGUGAGGCACAAAGGAGAUUGAACCUACAUAUGAAAGAAGUGGUAAGGAUUGAAAUUUUGAAGCUCCUUGAUUGAGGAAUUAUUUAUCCUAUUUCGGAUAGCAAGUGGGGGAGUCCGGUGCAAGUUGUUCCAAAAAAGUCCGGUAUUACCGUUGUCAAGAAUGAUUCCAAUGAAUUGGUGCCUCAAAGAGUGACAACGGGUAUUGAAGUAGACAAGGCAAAAAUUGACUUGAUAGCCAAGCUCCCUCCUCCUACAACAGUGAAAGGAAUAAGAAGCUUCCUUGGACAUGCCGGUUUUUGUCGAAGAUUCAUCAAGGAUUUCUCACGCAUCGCAAAGCCUUUAUGCGAUCUUCUUGCUAAGGAUGCCACAUUCUGCUUUGAUGAUGCCUGCCUAAAGGCCUUCAACACACUCAAAGAGCUCUUAACAAAAGCUCCCAUCAUUAUGGCACUGGACUGGAGUCUUCCUUUCGAAUUAAUGUGUGAUGCAUCUGAUUAUGCUAUUGGAGCAGUUUUGGGGCAGUGGGUUAACAAGCUUCCUCAUGCCAUCUAUUAUGCAAGUCGGAUGCUCAAUGAUGCUCAACUUAAUUACUCUACAACAGAGAAAGAAUUGCUUGCUGUGGUUUAUGCACUAGAGAAGUUCUGGUCAUAUCUUGUUGGCUCAAAAGUGAUUGAAUUCACGGACCAUGCAGCUCUACGGUAUCAAUUGUCAAAGCAUGAUGCCAAACCAAGGUUAAUUCGUUGGAUUCUCUUGCUACAUGAAUUUGAUUUGGAAAUCCGGGAUAAAAAAGGAACCGAGAAUGUUGUAGCGGAUCACUUGUCAAGAUUGGUUAAUGAGGAAGAAAGUGGCAAUGAGCUACCGUUGAGAGAGUGCUUCCCAGAUGAGCAACUUUUUGCUAUUCAAGAACAAGAAGUUCCAUGGUUUGCAGACAUUGUGAACUACUUGGUGAGAAAAAUAAUUCCUGAAGAGUUUAGCAAGCAAGAAAUUAAGAAAUUCCUUUCACAGGUGAAGCAUUAUUUUUGGGAUGACCCUUAUCUCUUCAAGUUUUGUCCUGAUCAAAUCAUAAGAAGGUGUGUUCCAGAUAGUGAAGCAAGGAGUAUUCUCACUUUCUGUCAUACAUAUGCGUGUGGAGGACACUUUGGCCCUAAGAAGACAACAUUAAAGGUUCUACAAAGUGGCUUCUAUUGGCCUACUAUAUUCAAGGAUGCUCACACCUUUUGCAUGGCUUGUGAUCGCUGCCAAAGAACUGGAAAUAUCUCCUCAAGGAAUCAGAUGCCCCUCCAAAAUAUUCUAGAAGUUGAAAUCUUUGAUGUAUGGGAGAUUGACUUCAUGGGACCAUUCCCAUCUUCCAAUGGUUAUCUGUAUAUCUUGGUGGCAGUGGAUUAUGUCUCUAAGUGGGUUGAAGCUAUGCCUUCUAAGACCAACGAUCACAAAGUGGUGCUCAAUUUUCUGAAAGAGGUUAUUUUUACUCGGUUUGGCACACCAAGAGCAAUUAUUAGUGAUAGAGGAUCUCACUUUUGCAACAAGCCUUUUGAAGCUCUCAUGAAGAAAUACAAUAUCACUCAUAAGGUUGCAACUCCAUACCAUCCUCAAACAUCUGGUCAAGUUGAGAUUUCCAAUCGUGAAAUCAAGAGUAUCCUUGAGAAAACUGUGCAAACAUCAAGGAAAGAUUGGUCGACAAAGUUGAGUGAUGCACUCUGGGCUUAUAGGACUGCCUGCAAAACUCCUAUAGGCAUGUCUCCAUAUCGUAUUGUUUUUGGAAAAGCCUGCCAUCUUCUAGUUGAGCUUGAACACAAGGCGUAUUGGGCAAUCAAGAAGCUCAAUUUUGACAUAGCCAAAGCUGGUGAUGCGAGGAAGCUUCAACUCAAUGAACUGGAUGCACUGAGGAAUGAUGCCUAUGAAAAUGCGAAAAUUUACAAGGAAAGAACAAAGCUUUAUCAUGAUAAGAGAAUUCUUCGUAAGGAGUUUGUUCCAAAUCAGAAGUUGUUGUUGUACAACUCAAGGCUGAAGCUUUUUCCUGGCAAGCUUCGAUCACGAUGGUAUGGACCUUUCCUUGUUACUCAGGUUUUUCCUCAUGGAGCGGUGGAAGUUCAGAACAUGAAGACAGGAGCUCUGUUCGAAGUUAAUGGGCAGCGUUUAAAGCCCUAUUUUGAGCCCAAUUUUGAUGCAGAAAAGGACGGUCUAAACCUUAUUGACCCUUCCUCUUCAACUUAG